AACGCAUCUUGCGCUCCUUGGUAUUCCGAGGAGCAUGCCUGUUUGAGUGUCAUGGUAUUCUCAACCCCAGCCUGCUUUUGGCAAGUUGUGGAUUGGAUGUGGGGGAGACUCUUGCUGGUGAUGCAUCAUCAGCUCCCCUGAAAUUUAUUAGUACAGAUGCUGUCCUGUGUGCUUCCUCGGUGUAAUAAUUAUCUACGCUGUGGACACAAUGACACUUGUGAUGUCUGUGCUUCAAACCGUCCUUUGUCUGGACAAUUCUUGACAUCUGACCUCAAAUCAGGCAGGACUACCCGCUGAACUUAA
rnacentral:misc_RNA from 1 species